UUAUUUAUUUUUACUCAUCGUCGCAUCAAUGACAUACUUUUUUUUUCCUCUUUCAUUUCUUCCCAGGCUCCCAUAUCGCCACACGCACGCCCGCUUCUGUCCCGCAGCCUCGCCCUCUUUGUGAACCCUGUGAACUGGGUGGCUUCAGAGAAAAUGGGCCUCUGCCGCUGGGUGUCAACAGUCAAGGGAUAACUGAGAUAAUUCGGUACCAGGGGAAAAAGUUUGAUCGGGCGCAACAGCUGUAAGCACAAGAAAGGCCACGACACAAUAGAGGAACCUGAAGGACAUCCCACGAACCAACCUCACCCUCGUCAAUUACUAGCGCGAUGGCGGGCUCCUCCCCUCACACCGCAGCGGGAUGCCUGGAACACAAGCCCCGCACAGCUCUCCACGCACCGGCUCGUUAGACCCACACUAAACCAACCUUGAACCUGAGCCUGAAAGCUGGCCUUCCACUCUUCCCUUUCGCAACAUUUUAUUUCUUCCUAUCAUUUGUUCAUCCCUUUCAUUCUCCCACUCUGCUCUUCUUCGCUCUUCCGUGUUCUUUUAAAUCUUUACAUUUGAGUUCCUCUUGUCUGUUCGAGUGAAGCGAAUGGGGCUUUGCUUCGUUCAGAGUUCAAGCACUAUAGGGUUGUACCACUGCCAACAAAAUCUUUUUCGCCGUGCUUUUAUCAAGAGAUCUCAAAUUUUCCGUGCUAUUAUUAAUUUCAACUUAGGCUCCAGCACACUUGAACGCUGUAUGGUUUGAAUGCUAGACAAAUGUUGCUGUCUAUCUAGUUGCUUGCGUCUAUAGUUUUCAAUCAGCAGGAAGCAGAAAGCGAAGGUGGAUGAGUGAAAAGUGAGAAAAGAUAUCUUUCCUUUGAUCACAACGACUUGAUAUGUUUUCUUCCCCAAAUCGUCUUCAGUUACACAAGACCUCUAACCGAACCCUACAAACACUGACCAAACAUACAGCCAAUAAAAAAAAAAAAAAAAAAAAAAACGGAAAAGCAGCGUUUCAGCACGUCCUGAGAGCAAGACAGAUCCUGGAGGGCUGGACUCGACUGUACUCAGCUCUCUGGACGUCUCUUAUACUCCUCAAGAAAGCGAGGCGAGGCGAGGCGACCGGCGGGGCUCAUAUACCCGAACCCGCCAUUCAGUGGAAAACCUCCUGAUCCGCUCUGACCACCGCACGCACUUGCACCGGCCAAGGCAAAACAAUAAAAGGAAGCAAAAGAAGUCGAUGCUGCUGCUAAACUCAGGAUGAAACUGACCGCACAGGUAUAUCUUCUUUACUUCCCACGACCUGCACACAUUUCUAAAAGGCAAGGCAAGGGAAGCUGAACUGAAGCGAAGGGAUGAAAAUAAGUAAAGGGAGAAGAGUGUAUGUUAUUAUUUUUUUUUCCGAGAUGCACUUUUCGUUAUUAUUUUCU